rnacentral:rRNA from 1 species
GAUGAACGCUGGCGGCGUGCCUAAUACAUGCAAGUCGAACGAGGUGCUUUUGUAGCAAUACGAGGGUAUCCUAGUGGCGAACGGGUGAGUAACGCGUUGGUGACCUGCCCCGAAGUGUGGGAUAACAGUCCGAAAGGAUUGCUAAUACCGCAUGUGGCCAUCGGGUUUAGAAACCGAUGUCUAAAGCAGCAAUGCGCUUUGGGAGGGACCUGCGUCCCAUCAGCUAGUUGGUGAGGUAACGGCUCACCAAGGCGACGACGGGUAGGGGGCCUGAGAGGGUGGCCCCCCACAAUGGAACUGAAACACGGUCCAUACACCUACGGGUGGCAGCAGUAGGGAAUAUUGCACAAUGGGCGAAAGCCUGAUGCAGCAACGCCGCGUGAGCGAAGAAGGCCUUCGGGUCGUAAAGCUCUUUUCUGGGAGAUGAGAAAGGACAGUAUCCCAGGAAUAAGUCUCGGCUAACUACGUGCCAGCAGCCGCCGUAACAC